AAGGGUUUUCCCGUAGAAAGUUCCAGGUGGAAAAUUCCAUCUUUCAGAUGGAAAAUCCCAAAGGAAUUCAUGUGGAGUACCAGUGGAAUAUUCCAGUGUAAACAUCCAGUGGAAGACCCUUGGUUCUCCCACGGUUAUAUACACUCAUACACAUGGUAAUAUCCACUGGUAAUCCUGUGGUUUCUCACCACGGUUAUAUGAGUGAAACAACAGUGAAAUUUUCCCUGGUGAUGGAUGGAAAUCACCAUGGGCACUCCGAAGGUUUUCCCAUAGAAACUUCAAAGUGGUGAAUUCCUACUUCCAGGUGGAAAAUUCCAGAAGAAUUUGUGUGGAGCACCAUGGAAAGUUCCAGUGUUCUAUUUUAUUAAAAAAAAAAAAGAUUUCACUCUGCGAUAUGUCUAUUUUAAUAUUAAUCGAAAGAAUUUAUCACAACGGUCUCUGUAUUUCAAAUGUAAUCGACGAGUCGAUGAUGCGUUCGAUGAGUAAAUAACGCCAUUUCAGCGCACGCGCAUUGCUCACGGAUUUUUCUGGAAGUCGUAGUGAAUUCGUUCUUGUGCAGUUAUUUGUGAAUAAAAUACAAUUAAAACUUUGAAAAACCAGUGACAAAAGUGUGCGGGAUGAACAAUAGAACUAGUUAAAUAAAGUGACACGGUUUUCAAUGCGAAAUAAAGAAAUUUAGUGCGCGAAACACAAAAAAAUCAUCUUCUCCGUCUCAUUCUUUGUGUUGACAAGACCAUAUUAUACACGAUAAGGCGAUGAAGUCCUGUGCCAAAAUAGUCGGUCAAAUCAAAGACAGCAAUAGGCCAUGCAGAAAGCGUAAGAAGGCAACGCCAGCAAUUCCAUUACCAAAGAACACUUCAGCAGUACCUGGGCCAUAUACUUAGCGAGAUUUGAAAUCGUCUGAAUCUACUCAUACAUCUAUCUAUCGUCUAAAUCGUAAGCUGUGUAAGGUGAUCAACGAUUCCUGCUUCUUUUGUAAUUCAUUAUAAUGUAAAUAAUUUUUCAAUCACGUCAAUAUUUUUUAUAUAUGUAUCUGAACAUUAAAUUAGUUUGAAGUUUAAUUAGAUUUUUUUUUAAAUUAAAUGUAUUAUUUUUUUUUUAAUUUUAUUAAAAAAGUGAAGUUAAUACAUGAAAUAAAAUGUUCUCUGCUAUAUA